GGAGACAGAGCGCUGUGUUUGUGAGCGAUCGCUCCUGCUCUCUCAGCACCGUUUUCUUUUCUAGGCCCUUGCCUCCUAAACUGGUCCACACUCUCUGUCAUCAGCACCACUGAGUCACCGCAGUUCGCUUUGAAUUAUCCCGCCGCAUGAAAAGAACAAGAACACUCUUUGUUUGGAGGCACAAUGAGCUGAGGAGGCCUGUGUGGCAUCGAUCUUAUAUACAACACAACAUUUCCGGGAGUGAGGAGACUCAAAGUGCACAAGUAGCUUGGAAUACACAAUGCUUGCUAAGGUCCUCGACCCUACUAUCCAUUGCACAGCAGUGCAUGAUGGCAGCCAUCAGAAUCAUCA